UGGCACCCGUUGUGGGGCUCCUGGCAUGAAGGGCUCCAUGAGGGAGCCAUCUUGAGACGCGUGUGUAAGAAGGGAACUAAGAAUUUUGUGACCAAUGCUACGCACGAGCCUGCUGCGCCUCUUGAGUCACAGUAAGUGAACGGCGAUCUUUUCCCUUUUUUUCCAGCAUGGGUUAGGCAUUAAGUGAUCAUAAACGCUUUGUGUCAAGUUUAAGUAAAGCUUUAAAGACAAGAGGGAUAAAGGCUAAAGAAAAAGAUUUAUUGCAGUACUUUAAAUUUAUUCAUAAGGUUUGCCCUU
rfam:Cavia porcellus supercont2_10 genomic scaffold, whole genome shotgun sequence.